CCCUUAGAUGUUCUGGGCCGCACGCGCGCUACACUGAUUCAUGCAACAAGUUUUGUCCUUGGCUGAUAGGCCUGGGUAAUCUUUGAACGUGAAUCGUGAUGGGGAUAGAUGAUUGCAAUUAUUCAUCUUCAACGAGGAAUUCCUAGUAAACGCAAGUCAUCAGCUUGCAUUGAUUACGUCCCUGCCCUUUGUACACACCGCCCGUCGCACCUACCGAUUGAAUGGUCCGGUGAAAUCUUCGGAUCUGAGAGAUGUCUGAUUAAUUUCGGACGCCUUUUGGAAAAGUUGUUUAAACCUUACCAUUUAGAGGAAGGUGAANUCGUAGCA
rnacentral:rRNA from 1 species